rnacentral:rRNA from 1 species
AGAGUUUGAUCCUGGCUCAGAACGAACGCUGGCGGCAGGCCUAAUACAUGCAAGUCGAACGCACCUUCGGGUGAGUGGCAGACGGGUGAGUAACGCGUGGGAACCUUCCUUGUAGUACGGAAUAACUCCGGGAAACCGGUGCUAAUACCGUAUACGCCCUCCGGGGGAAAGAUUUAUCGCUACAAGAUGGGCCCGCGUCGGAUUAGCUAGUUGGUAAGGUAAUGGCUUACCAAGGCUACGAUCCGUAGCUGGUCUGAGAGGAUGAUCAGCCACACUGGGACUGAGACACGGCCCAGACUCCUACGGGAGGCAGCAGUAGGGAAUCUUGGACAAUGGGCGAAAGCCUGAUCCAGCCAUGCCGCGUGAGUGAAGAAGGCCUUAGGGUUGUAAAGCUCUUUUGGCGGGGACGAUAAUGACGGUACCCGCAGAAUAAGCCCCGGCUAACUUCGUGCCAGCAGCCGCGGUAAUACGAAGGGGGCUAGCGUUGUUCGGAAUUACUGGGCGUAAAGCGCUCGCAGGCGGAUUGAUAAGUCGGGGGUGAAAUCCCGGGGCUCAACCUCGGAAUUGCCUUCGAUACUGUCUAUCUAGAGUCCGGGAGAGGUGAGUGGAAUUCCUAGUGUAGAGGUGAAAUUCGUAGAUAUUAGGAAGAACACCAGUGGCGAAGGCGGCUCACUGGCCCGGAACUGACGCUCAUGAGCGAAAGCGUGGGGAGCAAACAGGAUUAGAUACCCCGGUAGUCC